AGUAAUUUUAUCUCUGAUCUGUCUCCCAAGCCCCAGCUCAGAUUUUAAUGAUCACUUUGUUGGAAACGGACCUUGGAAGGGAUGCUUGCUCACUUCCCCAGUGUGGGGAUGAUGGUGAGAACUGGCAGCUUUGGAAUAAGUGUCCCAGGAGCUUCUGCUGACAAUCCCGGUUUCCGAGGGAACCCUUUCGGCCAUGGUGAGGGCUGCGCUCUCUUCUCUGACUUACCUUCAGCCAUGAACGGAUGGGUGUGAUGCCUGCUAGCCGAAAGGGGUCCUUCUGUGUGUUGCAGUCUUGUGGCAUUCUGCAGGCCCCCUGCCAGUGACCCCAGGCUUUUUAUGGCUGUGAGACUUAUUAAAAGCUCAGGGGUGAGAAGUGACCUUUUGAGGUGACUAUAACUGAAGAUUGAAUUAUAGAAGCAAAAAAAAAAA